ACACAGAAUUUCUGGAAGAAUUAUUAAGAUGUGCACGUCAGAGUUUAAUCAAGAUGUAAUAAACGUGUUGUCACCUAUUGAGAAUUAAAAUUCGGAGCCAGUCAGGACCGUCAACUGUAGCAUUCAACCCAGGCCAAGACUCUAUUGCCACAUUGGCGACUGAUGCAGAUCUGGAAUGUUUUGCCGGUGAUAAAUUAUACUGAACGAGGUUCUAACAUUGACCUCAUAAUAAGAAAUCGAAAAUUGAUAUGCAAUGAUAUGGCCUUGGUCCUACCGAAAUUGUCUCUGCCGCUUACGAUGUAGAACAUAACAGGCCGCGAGCCGUGACAGCUUCGUGGGUGGUUAACCCUAGGAACACAUUGUGAUCUUCGAACCGGGGCGUAAACAGACUUCGUAUCGUGCUGGGAGCCAGUCGUCAUCUGAUAAAAUGUCCAACGGCGACACUAGACGCAAAACCCAAGGACAUUUCAAUAGGAGGAAGGAAUUAUUAUUGCGACCUGAUAAUGGCAUUAAAUCGUAACGGUGACCGUAGCAGAGUUACAAGCUUAAUUGGAUAUCGACAAUUACCAUGCAGAGGAGGCUCCUUCUCGGCUUAACCUACUCACGCAGCGGUGAUACUCUGUAUCCUCUCGAUGUCAUUUCAUAGGCGUUCGCAUACACACACACACAUAUAUAAAGAUUUUUUACAAGAAAAGCUGCUAUCGCUAUAGCUUGGCCAAGAAACUUGCCUAAAAAAGGAAAUAAUGUUAUAAAGAUAUUGCUCAGACUAUGCUACAUGCCCCCGUAUUUUGUUCACUGCGUCUGAUGAUGAUGUCGCUGACCGUAAUACUGAUAGCGCACUAGAAGAAGUGGGAACGUCACUACAAAAUGACCGUUUCGGUAUCACUAUUUUGAUAGGUUGUCAUGAGAAAGAGGGAGACAAAAAGAGUAAAACAUUGGCAGCGAAGACGGUUCCAGUAUGGCGUAGGCGCGGUUCACUUUCUUCAAAAGAAUCUAUCGGGUACAUAUACAAGGAGCGUUUGUCGACCCACAAAGAGAAUAAUCGCAAAGAUACAUUGAAAGCAAGGUUGAGCUGGAAUUGCAUUAUAGAGAGAAGAACGGAACAACCACGAACGCCUGAUAAGGUUGCAAGCAAGAAGAACACAAAGAAAAUUAUUAAAAAACUUAACAAAGUUAAAAUACGUUGUGUGAAAGUGUCGUAUAAAAAGUUUU